rnacentral:rRNA from 2 species
AAAUUGAAGAGUUUGAUCAUGGCUCAGAUUGAACGCUGGCGGCAGGCCUAACACAUGCAAGUCGAACGGUAGCACAGAGAGCUUGCUCUCGGGUGACGAGUGGCGGACGGGUGAGUAAUGUCUGGGAAACUGCCUGAUGGAGGGGGAUAACUACUGGAAACGGUGGCUAAUACCGCAUAACGUCGCAAGACCAAAGAGGGGGACCUUCGGGCCUCUUGCCAUCAGAUGUGCCCAGAUGGGAUUAGCUUGUUGGUGAGGUAACGGCUCACCAAGGCGACGAUCCCUAGCUGGUCUGAGAGGAUGACCAGCCACACUGGAACUGAGACACGGUCCAGACUCCUACGGGAGGCAGCAGUGGGGAAUAUUGCACAAUGGGCGCAAGCCUGAUGCAGCCAUGCCGCGUGUAUGAAGAAGGCCUUCGGGUUGUAAAGUACUUUCAGCGGGGAGGAAGGU